rnacentral:rRNA from 1 species
CAUUGGAAACGAUGGCUAAUACCGCAUAACCUCGCAAGAGCAAAGCAGGGGACCUUCGGGCCUUGCGCUACCGGAUAUGCCCAGGUGGGAUUAGCUAGUUGGUGAGGUAAGGGCUCACCAAGGCGACGAUCCCUAGCUGGUCUGAGAGGAUGAUCAGCCACACUGGAACUGAGACACGGACCAGACUCCUACGGGAGGCAGCAGUGGGGAAUAUUGCACAAUGGGCGCAAGCCUGAUGCAGCCAUGCCGCGUGUAUGAAGAAGGCCUUCGGGUUGUAAAGUACUUUCAGUAGGGAGGAAGGUGGUUAAGUUAAUACCUUAAUCAUUUGACGUUACCUACAGAAGAAGCACCGGCUAACUCCGUGCCAGCAGCCGCGGCAAUACGGAGGGUGCAAGCGUUAAUCGGAAUUACUGGGCGUAAAGCGCAUGCAGGUGGUUUGUUAAGUCAGAUGUGAAAGCCCUGGGCUCAACCUAGGAAUCGCAUUUGAAACUGACAAGCUA